rnacentral:lncRNA from 1 species
AAAUCUGUGUGUUUUCCCAAAAACACAAACCAACCAUCCACAAACCAACAUCCACAAACCAACACACCCCACCCCGCAGCCCCUGGUCCCCAGCCCCUGGGAUGUGACCCCCUCAGGGCUGGCAGUGCCUGCAGGGUCACACCCGCCCAGGCUGGAGGUUCUGGGGCUGCAGAGCUGGCAGGGAGGGCUGUCCCUGCCUGUGUCCCUGUCCCUGUCCCUGUCCCUGUCCCUGUCCCCCCCCCCCCCCCCCCCCCCCCCCCCCCCCGUGUCCCUGUCCCUGUCUGUGUCCCUGUCUGUGUCCCUGUCCCUGUCCCUGUGUCCCUGUCCCUGUCCCUGCCUGUGUCCUUGUCUGUGUCCCUGUCCCUGUCUGUGUCCCUGUCUGUGUCCUUGUCUGUCCCUGUCCCUGUGUCCCUGUGUCCCUGUCCCUGUCUGUGUCUCUGUCUGUGUCCUUGUCUGUCCCUGUCUGUGUCCCUGUCCCUGUCCCUGCCCCUGUCCCUGUCCCAGUCCCUCCCCAGUCCCUCCCUGCCUGUGUCCCUGUCCCUGUCCCUGUCCCUGUCCGUGUCCCUGUCCCUGUCUGUGUCCCUGUCCCUGUCCCUGCCCCUGUCCCUGUCCCAGUCCCUCCCCAGUCCCAGUCCCAGUCCCAGUCCCAGUCCCAGGUGCAGCUGUCCCCAGUUCCUGGCUGGGUUCUGCGGGGCAGGAGCCCUGGGCAGUGCAGGUUUCCUUGGCAGAGCUCUCUGCAGCUCCUGGGCUCACGGCGCCAGGCACAGGCAGGUGGCACAGGUGGCACAGGUGGCACAGGUGGCACAGGCAGGUGUCAGGGUGGCACAGGGAGGUGGCAGAGGCGGCACAGCCUCGCUGGGAUGGACCUGGAGCUCCUCUGGGCUUCCCUUGCUGCAGAGUUGGGCGGUGCUGAUGCUCGGGGGGUCAGAGACGAAAGCGAUGCGAGGAGGAGACGCCCGCAGGGUCGGCGGUGCCGCUGUCACCCAGGGCAGGGCACUGUGUGGGAAGAGAGAGACAAGGAGUUGUUUCCCAGACUGGUCUUUGCAAGUACACAGCAUCCUCCAGCAGACAGGGAAAGUGAAGGAAAGGAGAUUUGGUUUUCUAAGGGUUUGAAUUUGCCAAAAAUAAAGAGACAUCCAGAUUCCUCAGGUGGUGCUGCAGCCUCUCUGAAACACCCCAUCGCUGCAGCAGAUUAAAGGUUAGUCAAAGAAACAAGAAAGGACAGAGAAGGAAAUUUUACUGUGGGCCCACCAGUAAAACUUCCAAAAACUUCCACCAGUAAACUUCCAAAAAAAAAAAGCUCUUUUCCCUGAAUGUUCAUUAAUUUGGGUAGGACACAUCUUUACACAUGAUAACACAUGGCUUUGUUAUACCUUUCCCCUCUUUAUAUCCUUCUAUAUCUAUAUUCACCUACUCAAGCACAAAAUGAAAAUGCAAUCAAUGCAAUAACAAAUUAAAACACAGUUUGCUCCCUGAUUGAAGAGUUCCUGGCCAAGUCUGAGCUUGAAACACAUUUUGAUAAUCUCAUAAAUUCCUGACAGAACAACAUUUAUCAAGGAAGUGCAAGAGGCACUUCAGAGAAACACAAGUUGUUUGGGUCCUGUGAGCAAUUUGCACAAUUAAGGGCUCCUGUAUUUCAUUAUAAAAGUGAUAAAGCUCGCUAAAAAAUCUAAAUAUAUUUACAUCACCUCUCUCUGAUGAUGAUUCCAAUAUAAAAAUAACCUCAUUAAUGCUGACAAGAAUGCAAACCUAGUCUCUUGAAAAUGUGAGAAGACCACAGGAAUCCCAUGUGAUCUCACUCCCCUGCCUUAUUGGAACCAUCUGUGUCUGCUGGUAACCUCAGACCCCCCACCCACAGGUCUGACUCCAGAAAACCAGAAUUUCACCAUCUUUUUGUGCAUCCCAGCCUCUCUGGGUGCACCUCAAAACAGGUCCUGAGCAUCCCUGGAUUUUCCUUCUGCUCUGGGCUAGGAGAGGAGCUGUUAAAGCCUCCUGCACCCCAGAGCAAGGUUUGCUCCCUGCUUUGUCCUGCCGGGGCUGGCAUUGUGAGAGCAAUGUCACAUUUGUCCUCACAAACGAUCUGCUGGUAGAUCAAACCAACACGGAGAGAUAAAAGAAGCAAUGGGAUGGAUUCCACUGACUGAUGAAUGGCAAAAGAGAUUUGCCUUUACAAACAAACUGCAGGUUUGCUGAUAAUGAAACUGGAUAUUGGAAGAUGGAAGAAGCAAUGGGGGAAAAACUAUGAAUUCUAUAAGAAUUAAAAAUUAAAAGGGAGGGUUGUACAUGAGAGGGGAAUCUCAGGUAUCAGGUGUUUGGGAAGUCUGUGCCUCUCAAGUACCUCAGCCCAAGGGGAAAGAGAGAGGGAAAUGUGGUCGGGAAAUUGGGAUAAAAGGAGGCUGCGUCCUCCAAAAACUGGAGAGACCCCAGGGGAAUGCCCCAUGGGCUCUCCCUUUAUUGGAAUAGAGCAAAAAGGACUCCUCUGUCUCCUUUUCGGACAUUUGUGGGUUAAUUUUCCUGACAGCUGGAGGGCACAGGGAGCAGGGCAGGGCUGGAAUGCCCAGCCCCACGUUCCGUGCCGGUCCCACCCCGACGGCAGCCCGGGCUCCUCUUCCCUCCCAGCCCCGGGGACCCCGGGCAGCUGCAGCAGACAAACAGCAGCGAUUCCUCCGCUCAGGGCUCGAGGUGGAACCCCUGCUUCAUUCCAUGCAAGGAAUCUUCUGAACAGCUCAGCUCGAGUGCUGGAGGGGAUAAAGUCACUGACUGCAGCAAGGGGUUGCUUGUAUACGAGUGAUGUAACCCUGGGACUCAGCCCAGCUCCUUCCCGGGCUCCAAAGCAAACAGAGAUGCCUUCCAGUUGUUUUUCAUCUGGCUUCACUUUUUUAUCUUGAUCACUGGGCAAAUCAAGGAGCCCAUUCGACAGCACUGAAAUCUGUUUCCCUUUCCCCAGGACAGAGAGGAGAAAGCAGGAGGUACAGACUGCUGUCAAAACAGCUCCUCCUUGCAGCUCUCAGGAAUAUCAUACUGCCAGAGGGGUGCAAACCCCCCGUGCUUGUUGCCUGCGAGGGUUUCAGUGUUUCUGCAGCCUGAGAAGGUUCCAGGUUUGAUCUGCUGGCUCCUGUGGGAUGCUCUGCUCCGCCCUGGCUCUCUCACCCCAGGGCAUGCCCCUGCUGGCAGCUUGUCCAGGCUGGCACUGUGCAGCAGCUGCUUUGCUGCUGGACCACUCAGAGGCGUUUGUUCAGAAAUCCCCCUGCAGCUCUGGAAUGCCUGUUCCUCUCCAGGUGACUCCUUUGCCUGGGCACUUCCCUGCGUAGGUAUGAGGCACUUCCAGGUCCUUCUGCAAGGUUUUCCUCUGUGCCAACAAAACUAUCAGCUUGAGUGUUUGGCCUCUGUGAAUCUUGGUGUGUUGGAGGACAUCAAAGCCCUUGCUGGUACCCACCGGCAGGUUUUAGUGAGCUGUUUGUGUUUGUCCCCAAGGCAGUGACAAAACUUCCAGGUGAGGUCACCCCCAAGAGCACAGGCAAAACCAAGCUGAGAACAGUGAGUGUCCAAACAAAGGAGUCACCUGCAGAGGAACAGGUAUUUUAGCAGCUCUAAGCCUGGGUGCAUUCCUGACUUUUCUCCCAAAAAUCAGAAUCAGUGAAGCCAUUUUAGCAAAUCCUCCCUGGGAAGGAAUAAAAUAUUAAACCUUUCAAUUCACAAAGAGGUCCUGUAUUCACUAAAAAUGCUCACAAGGCACCAAAUGGUGCUACAGGCCUGUGUUUCUCUAGCAGAAAAUUACAUUUUUCCUGUGCAGUCGAGUUUCUUGAAGCCUUCACAGUUCUGCAGUUACUAACACUUUGGGACAAAUAUAUUCCUGAAACAACUCCAAGCUCUUUGUUGAUUCAUAUCAGGGGUGUGUGACUGACUGCAUAAGACAUAAAUCUGACAUUUUCCACCAUGAGGGGAAUUCAAUGAAGGAAAAAUCACAGAAUCAGAGAAUAUCCUGAUACCCAACCUGACCCUCCCCUGACAGAGCUCCAGCUGUUCCCUUGGGUCCUGUCAGAACAUGCAGGAAUAUCCCUGAUUAUCCAUGCAGGAAUAUCCCUGACCAUCCAUGCAGGAAUAUCCCUGACUAUCCAUGCAGGAAUAUCCCUGACCAUCCAUCCAGGAAUGUUCCUCACUAUCCAUGCAGGAAUAUCCCUGAUUAUCCAUGCAGGACUAUCCCUGACCAUCCAUGCAGGACUAUCCCCUACCAUCCAUGAGGUUUCCUCCUGUCACUGGUGCAGAGCAGCUCUGUGCUCCAAGGGCAGCCUGUGCUGGGCUCCCCCAGGGGUCCCUGCACCUGCACAGCUCAGCCUCGA